AAAUUGAAGAGUUUGAUCAUGGCUCAGAUUGAACGCUGGCGGCAGGCCUAACACAUGCAAGUCGAGCGGAAACGAGUUAUCAGAACCUUCGGGGAACGAUAGCGGCGUCGAGCGGCGGACGGGUGAGUAAUGCCUAGGAAAUUGCCCUGAUGUGGGGGAUAACCAUUGGAAACGAUGGCUAAUACCGCAUAAUGCCUACGGGCCAAAGAGGGGGACCUUCGGGCCUCUCGCGUCAGGAUAUGCCUAGGUGGGAUUAGCUAGUUGGUGAGGUAAGGGCUCACCAAGGCGACGAUCCCUAGCUGGUCUGAGAGGAUGAUCAGCCACAC
rnacentral:rRNA from 1 species